rnacentral:pre_miRNA from 1 species
UAUGUACUCCCUCCGUUCGGAGUUACUUGUCACAAAAAUGGAUGUAUCUACAACUAAAAUGCAUCUAGAUACAUUCAUUUCUUGGACGAGUAAUUUCGAACGGAGGGAGUAACAG